rnacentral:rRNA from 1 species
UAGGUAGACGGGCGAGGUGCGGCCACGGCCGCGGCCGCGUCUUGUACGGAAUGGAGAGGGCUAGGUGGUGAGGGGAGAGAAGAGGCGAGAUAUACGGAGUCGGUGGAGGAGUAGAAAGGGGGGCGGUACCGGUGCUCGGGUAUGUGGGGCCAGGUCUAGUGCCGGAACUAGACGCCGCCGUCAUCACCGUCGUUCUGGCUGACAACACCGACCUGCUGCCAGCUGCAGCAGGUAAUGGAGGGCAGCGUGUAGUUAGACGGAAGAAGCCAGCAUCAGCUCGUCGCAUGCACGGCACCACUUGGGGUACUACGCGACCGGUAGAGUUGGUCUAGGUGCGGCUACUCUUCCGGUUCCACCUCCCGACGUUGGCCUAAACCUUCAGCGAUUACAGGGCACGCCGUCGGUGCCUAGGUAGAAGCCAGCUACGGCUCGUGACCGCUCCAUGUCCACCGCGGCGACCGUGCCUACGUCACAUGUCCCCGCGACUGCGGUGCUUCUACCGGUGACCGAAGAAGGACGGCGCGACGUCGCUACCCGCGGCGGAGGAGCCGAAACGGGGUCAGGAGGGCGGGACGUGAAUCCACGACGACGAGCAUCGGUAGAACCACC